AGGUUUUGUGGGUGUACAGAAGAUUUUUUUUGUGUUUCCGUCAGAGAGGUUACUUCUUCAAUGGAUUGGGGAACUCCUUGUGUAUUAGUUGGAGGUUUGUUUUGACUUAAUUCUUUUUCUGCAAAUGUUUGUAUUUGCUUAGGAGAUUCUAGGUUGGGAAAGGGUAACACAGGUGAAUUUACAAUAAGUGAGUUUAUUGUUUCAUCCAAAGAACUCUCUGUGUAAUCUGAAACAUUUGGUUCCUUCUUGGGUGUUUCAAGCAAUUUUUCGGAGAGUUUGUGGUUUUCAUCUUUUGGCGUGGAUAAAUAUGGUUUAGGGAUGUUAGAACUUUUUAUAUUUUCUUUGGGCCCUUGUGGUGGGUUUGAACGUUCUUCUGGUUGAGUAUUGUUAAUGGGAGUUGAAAUUUGUUUGUCCUCAUUGAAAUUUUUUGUAUAUAUAAAUGGUUUUGAUGUGUAUGCCAUUGAAUUAAGUUUUUGUUCAAAGGGUUGAGGAUCUUCUUGUCUAAAAUGAGCUUCCAUUUUAGUUGGUUCAGAUGGAGAUUGACCAAAUACUUUUUCUAUAGUUGUUUGUACAUUUUUAGGAGGAUCGGAUUGAAAAGUUGAUAUUGGAGUCGGUUUCAUGGUAUCUAAGGUUUGUACUUGUUGGAAGGGUUGAGACCCUUCCUGUAUCAAAGAAGGUUUUGCCUGAUCUUUUUGAGAAGAAGAUUCAUCAAGUAUUUCUUCUAUCAGUUCUGCUUUGGAUGUGAGUGAGUGACUUAAUUUCAUUGUUGAAGAAAUGAUUUCAUCUGCAGAACUUUUCAAAAUCCUUUGAACUUGUUGUUUCUGCAUGUAUGGUUCAGUUGAUGGUUUGCUGAAUUGAUUAGGUUCGUCAUCUAGUUCGGGUAAAAAGGACGGUUGGCUAGUGUUUGAUUCUUCCUUUUUAUAAAAGUUCUUAAGUUUAGAAGGUUCAGAUUUAAUGUCGGUUGGGUCAAUACCUGCUUCAGUACUGGGGACAAUUAUUGAUUGUGGAGUUGAGACUUCCUUCUUCUCUAGGGGUUCUUCUUCAGGUUUAGGAAUUCCUGAUUGGGUAGCUAUCGGGGAAAUCUGUACUCGUUGGAGGGGCUGGAACCUUUCCUGAUUCAAAGGGGUUUCUGCUUGAUUCUGCUGAGAAGCAGCUUCACCAAGAAUUUCUUGUAUUGGUGUUUUCAUUUGUGUUUUUUUAGAUAGGGGUAGUGUUUCCAAAGUAUUUUUCGGCAUUUUGGAGACAUCUUGUUCAACUGGGAUUGAGUCCUUAUCCAAUUUAGAUGGUUUGAUGGUUUGUUUUUGAAGUGCUGAAGUUUUUUUCUCUAUGAAACUUUGAACAGGUUGUGGAUUUUCUUGUUGGUUACUCAAGAAAGUUGACAAUUCCGAUGGUGAAUUAACCUCUUUUUGAGUAUAUUGAAGAGUGGAAUCAAGAAAGUUUGUGGCUUCUUUUUCUUCCAUUUUUCUAUCUACAGAUUUCACACCUUGUGGUAAAUCACUAAGUGCAUUGGUUGCUUCUGACAUCACUUUGGUUUCUUUUAGGGGUUCUUGUAAUCUUGGGUUUUGAAAAUCCUGGUUUAUUAAUGGUUCUGAAAUCUUAAGUGUCUCUGGAUGAGACAUUUGUGAAAAAUCAUUUAUUAAGGGUUGAUUUGCUCUAUCCUCCUGUAUUGCUAAUGUGGGUGGUUUACCAGUCUUCGAUCCUUCUCCCUUUUCAUCAGUUCCUUUUAUAUCUUUAGAAGAUCCAGAUUUAAUAUUCAUUGGGUAAAUUUCUGGUUGAGUUUUCCGAAUAAGAAUUGAUUGUGGAGUUGAGGUUUCGUUCUUCUCCAUAGAUUCUUCUGCAUUUGUAGGGAAUCCUGGUGAUGUGUCUAUCAGUGAGCUCUGUACUUUUUGGAGGGGUUGGAAUAAUUUCUUGGUCAAAGGAAUUUCUGUUUGAUCCUGUCGAUAAACAGAUUCACCAUGUAUUUCUUCUACAGGUUUUUCUGCUUGCUUAAAAGGUUCUGAUUGGGAUGUGGGUAAAUGACUUGGUUUCAUUGUAGAAGAACUUAUUGUAUAUUCAUCCAACCUCUCCGUAUCCUUUGGAACUUGUUGCAUUUGCUUGUACGAAUCACUUGCUGGUUUGAAGUGUGGUUGAUUAGCUCCAUCAUUUGGUGUGAGUAAAAAAGGUAAUCUAGUCUUUUCUAAUUUUUCUCCAUUUUCAUUGGUUCCAGUUAUAGCUUUUGAAGGCUUAGAAUUAAUAUUCAUCAGGUUUAUCUCAGGUUGAGUAGUGGGAAUGAUAAUUGAAUCUAGAGUGGAUGUUUCCUUCUUCUCUAGGGGUUCUUGUGCAGGUUUUAGAUAUCUGUUAUCUAUCGGUAAACUUUUUUUUUGUUGGAGUUGAAAUCCUUCCUGAAUCAAAGGAGCUUCUGUUUGAUAAGAAGAUUCACCAAGUAUUCCUUCUACCGGUGUUUGUGCUUGCCGAGAUAAUUCUGUUUGGGAUGUGGGUAAGUGACUUGAUUUCAUUGCAGUAGAAAUGAUUUCAUCUACAGAGCUUUUCACAAUCCUUUCAUCUUGUUGUUUCUGCAUGUAUGAUUCAGUUGAUGGUUUGAUGGAUUGAUUAGUUCCGUCAUCUAGCUCAUCAGGUAAAAGAGGUGGUUGUCUAGUGUUUGAUUCUUUCUUUUUAUAAAACUUCUUAAGUUUAAAAGGUUCAGAUAUAACGUCGAUUGGAUAAAUACCUGCUUCAGUACUGGGUAUAAUUAUUGAUUGUGGAGUUGAGGCUUCCUUCUUCUCUAGGGGUUCUUCUACAGGUUUAGGAAAUCCUGAUUGGGUAUCUAUCGGGGAAAUCUUUACUCGUUGGAGGGGUUGGAGCCUUUCCUGAUUCAAAGAGGUUUCUGCUUGAUUGUGCUCAGAAGCAGCUUCACCAAGCAUUUCUUGUAUUGGUGUCUUCAUUUGUGUUUGUUUAGAUGGUUCUUCUUGGGAUGUGGGUAUGGGACUUGGUUUCAUUGUUGAAGAAAAGGUUUCUUCUACAGAACUUUUCACAAUCUCUUGACCUUUAUGUUUCUGCAUGUCUGAAUCAUUUGAUAGUUUGAAUGAUUGAUUAGCUCUGACAUCUUGCGUAGGUAAAAGGGGCGGUUGGUUAUUGUUUAAUUCUUCCCUUUUGUCAAACUUUGUAAGUUUAGAAGGUUCGGAUUUAAUGUCAGAUGUGUCGAUAUCUGCUCCAGUACUGGGAAUAAUUAAUGAUUGUGAAGUUGAGACUCUCUUCUUAUCUAGGGAUUCUUGUGAUGGUUUGAAGGAGUGUAUAGCUUCAUUUUCAGGUGUUGGUAAAAGAGGUAGUUCACUAGUGUUUGGAUCUUCCUUCUUUUCAUCAAGUGGUUUGGGAGAUCGAGGAGAUUUUGCUUGUGUAGGUAGUGGUAGUUUUUCCGAUGUAUUUUUCAGAGGUCGGGGGACGUCUUGUUCAACUGAUAUUGAAUCCUUUGGUAAUUUAGAUGGAUCGAUGAUUUGUUUUGGAGGGGUUGAACUUUUUUUCUCUGUGAAACUUUGAACAAGUUGUGAACUUUCUGGUUGUUUACCCAUGAAAGUUGGUAAUUUCGAUGGUAAAAUAACUUCUUUUUGCGUAGAUUGAAGAUUAGAAUCAAGAAAGUAUGUGGUCUCUUUCUCUUCCAUUUGUCUUUCUGCAGAUUUCACAUCUUUUGGUAAAUCUCUAAGUGUAUUGGUUUCUCCUGGCAUUACUUGGGUUUCUUUUACUGGUUCUUGUGAUUUUGAAUUUUGAAAUUUCUGGUCUAUUGGCGGUUCUGAAAUCUUAAGGGUGUCUGGGUGACUCAUUUGUGAAGAUGUAUUCAUCGAAGGAUCAAGUGGCUUCUGAUGGAUGGUUUUUGCUUUUGAUUCAGAUACAUUAGUAUUUUCCAAUAUAAAAUCAUUUUUCUUUUUUUCAAGGUAGUAUGAGAAUUCAGUAUCUUUUGAAUCUUGAUCUGAAAGAUCAUUUUGUGGCUGAGGUUGUAUGUCUGGGUAAUGCAAUGAUUCCUGAGUUUCUGAUUCAACUGAUUUGGGCACUUUCUUAAAAAGAACUAAUUGAGAGGCUACAGGAAGAGUUUUUCUUUCUCUCUUUUCCUGGGAUCCGUCUGACACUGGUUUAUCUUGUGGAUUCUUAUCAUUCAAGUUCGUUCCAUUUUCCUCAGUAUCCUGUGACAUUGGAGUCUCUGUUUCACUCAGCUUUGGAUCAAACUCGGUCAUUUUAUCUAAAUAUUCUAUGGACUGGGUAUCUUUUGAUUCGUGAUAUUGGAUUCCAAUUUUUGUUUGAGAUGAUCGAAGAUCCUUGGAUUGGGAAUCUGGAUCAAAAGGUCGAAAAAGAUUCUGAGUGAAUUCUUUUUCGCUUUCUUUUUGUCCAUUCUGCAAGGGUUCUAAUUUAUGUGUUUGUGAAUCUAAUGAUUGUUCAAAAGGCUCUAUAUUUUUUAGUUCAGGCUUUUGAAAUUCUAUUCCUUGAGCAUUUCUGAUAAGUUGUGGCUGGUCAUAACCAUGAUCAUCUGAUUCAUUGAUGCUUCCAAUAAAUUGUUCUAUGUUUCCUUGUGAGGGUUGUGGAGAUUCUAUCUUGUGAUAGGGUGUGUCUGAAGAUAGAUAUUUAUGAGGAUCUACAACAGUUGGUUGUUGAGAUGGAGUAAUUUUCUUUUGAAAUACAUGUUGGGGAGAUGUCUUGAUGGAUAUUGGGAAUUCAUUAGUUUCUUGCGUUGGAAACUUUGGUUUAGUUGUCGGAGUUGUUUCUUCAGGAAUAACAGGUGUUAUCUUUUCCCCAUUCUGCAUUGAAGGAUUUGAGAAUGGUUGGGGAUUCAACAAAAUUGGUAAUUUUGUCGAAAUAACUUUCUUAUGAGUCGGAUCAACAAAGUCUGUAGCAUUUUUUUCUUGUCCAAAAACUUGUGCAGUUUUUCUUUCAUGAUUAUAUAGUUCAAAGUGAGUUGUUUCAGCUAAUGUUUCCAAUGAUUUUUGUUCAGGAACAGAUAGCGAUUGGCUAGUAGGUUCAAGGCUAGCUGUUUCUGGAGAUUUCGGCUUAUCAAAAAAAUUAUUUUCCUUUGAUUCUUCUACAAGAUAAGAUUUAUCUUGUGCUGGUAAUUUUAUCUUACUAGAUGGUUUAUAUAGCCUAUUAUCUUCUUGAUGUAUAAACUUAGGUUUAUCUAGUUUGAAGGGUUCUAGGUUACCAUGUGAAUGUUGUGAAGGCUCUAGUUCAUGAGGGUCACUUUUGUAUGAUUUUUCAUGGGGUCUACGAGCAUCUAAUUCAUGAGCUUGGGAUUCAAGUAGUUCAUCUUCUAUCUGAAGAUACUCUAAUUGAGUAAGUUUAUGGGAAGCUGUUAAAUCCUGAAGAAUUAAGUUCUCUCUCUUUUUCUCAGAUUCUUGAGAUGGUGGUUGGUCUAUUGAUUUUUGAUGGCUUAUUUCAACUGUUGGUUCAGAAAAGUUUGAAUCUUCUUCAGAUAUAACUGAAGGAAUGGUUGUUCCUAAAGGAUAAAGAUCAUCUACAUUAUUUUUGUUUAUAUAUUUUAUAAUUUGGAUAUCUUCCGAAUCAAUGUCUUGAAUAUCAUUUUUUAUUUCAGAAGACUGGAGAUAUGCUUUAGAUUUUGGUUCAGGAGAAUUAAGUGAUUGAUUGAGGGGUUCUGAGAGGGUAUUCUUAAGCAGAAAAUGUUCAGGAGGGCUUAGGUCUGCUCUUUUUUCUUUGCUAUCUUGUGAUAGAAAAGGAUCGAGUGGCUUACACUCACUUGUUCUAUCUUUGUGUUUAUGUAUCUUUGAAUUUUCUUCUUUUGGUAAAUUUAAAUAAGAAAUCAUCCCAGGUUCUUCUGAUAUAAACUCAUUCUUCUUUUUCAUCAGAUUGUCUGUGAUUUCAGUAUUUUCUGCAUUAGGAUAAGUAAGAUCGUUUUUUGCUUUAGGAGAUUGAAGGGCAUUUAGUUGUUUUGAUGGUGUGUUGGUUUCUAAUUCAACUGGUGCAGGUAAUGGUUUAGAAGAUUCUAACUGGGCACUCUUAGAGAGAUAGGUGGACUGUGAAAGAUUACGAUUUUCUUUCUUUUCCAUGUAAUUCUGGGAAAAUUGAUUGUCUUGUGCUUUCUUAUGACCAAAUUUCUCUUUUUUCUCUCCAGAAUCACGUCUAAAGACAUGCACA
rnacentral:lncRNA from 1 species